rnacentral:rRNA from 1 species
UACGUAGGGUGCGAGCGUUAAUCGGAAUUACUGGGCGUAAAGCGUGCGCAGGCGGUUUUGUAAGCCAGAUGUGAAAUCCCCGGGCUUAACCUGGGAAUGGCAUUUGGGACUGCAAGGCUGGAGUGUGGCAGAGGAGACUGGAAUUCCUGGUGUAGCAGUGAAAUGCGUAGAUAUCAGGAGGAAUACCGAUGGCGAAGGCAGCCCCCUGGGAUAACACUGACGCUCAUGCACGAAAGCGUGGGGAGCAAACAGG